GUGACAUAGCAAGGAGACUCAUAUUUAAGUGAAGGAGAAACAGGAAGGGCCUCUUUUCCCCUCCGCUCCUGCUCCAGCGGCACAAUGUGAUCCACCAGCAAGGAGGAUGCCAAUAAGGCGUCCGAUUACAGUUCAUCACUGAGAGAAGCCACAGCAGGUGCUCAAGGCAGGAACCCGGAGGCAGGAAGCAGAACCCGAAGCAGAGACCUAGGCUCUCAGCUAAGUUUCUUCUACCUUCCAGCACAACCUGUCCACCACCCACAGUGGACUGGGUCCUCCUGCAUCAAUCAAAAUUUAAGAAAAUCCACUCAGACAUGUGUCCAGGCCAAUCUGAGAGAGGCAUUUCCUCUAUUGAGGUUCCCUCCUCCCAGGACAGCGCUCACUGAGUCCCUAUGGGUAAAUCUGGUUCUGCAUGGUUUGUUGCUUACACAUUAGAGUGCUUUACAUACAGAAAGCACGUACAGAGGAUACAGGGUCCUGUGUCUGAACUGGAUCAAGGUUUUCCAUCAACUGUCAUUUUUGAACUGUUUUUAUUAAGCCGGGAUUCCUUCACUUGUAAAAUUGUAGGAUGACAUGAUAGCCCCUUAGGUGACCUUCAAAUUACUCUAAAGUUACCUAAUUACAUGUCAUACAGAAGUAUUCUGCAAU
rnacentral:lncRNA from 1 species